rnacentral:tRNA from 1 species
AAUCCGUCGACUUUUGAAAUCGUG